rnacentral:rRNA from 1 species
UACGAAGGUGGCAAGCGUUACUCGGAAUUACUGGGCGUAAAGCGUGUGUAGGUGGGAAACUGUGUCAGGGGUGAAAUCCCGGGGCUUAACCUCGGAAUUGCCUUUGAAACUGGUUUUCUUGAGUAUAGUAGAGGAUGGUGGAAUUUCCAGUGUAGAGGUGAAAUUCGUAGAUAUUGGAAGGAACAUCGGCGGCGAAGGCGACCAUCUGGGCUAUUACUGACACUGAGACACGAAAGCGUGGGGAGCAAACGGG